UACGUAGGGGGCAAGCGUUGUCCGGAUUUAUUGGGCGUAAAGAGCGUGUAGGCGGCCUGACAGGUCUGCUGUGAAAACUCGAGGCUCAACCUCGAGAUGUCGGCGGAAACCGUCUGGCUAGAGUCCGGAAGAGGAGAGUGGAAUUCCCGGUGUAGCGGUGAAAUGCGCAGAUAUCGGGAAGAACACCCGUGGCGAAGGCGGCUCUCUGGGACGGUACUGACGCUGAGACGCGAAAGCGUGGGGAGCAAACAGG
rnacentral:rRNA from 1 species